GACGAACGCUGGCGGCGUGCCUAAUACAUGCAAGUCGAACGCAGUGGGGACGGGUGAGUAACACGUGGGUAACCUCCCAUCAGAGGGGAAAACAAUUGGAAAAAGGUGAUAAAACGUUACUGAUGGAUGGACCCGCGGUUCAGUAGCUAGUUGGUGUGGUAACGGCUCACCAAGGCCAGGAUGCAUAGCCGACCUUGGAGGGUGAUCGGCCACACUGGGAUGGAGACACGGCCCAGACUCCUACGGGAGGCAGCAGUAGGGCAUCUUCGGCAAUUGACGAAAGUCUGCCCGAGCAACGCCGCGUGAGUGAAGAAGGUUUUCUGAUCGUAAAACUCUGUUGUUAGAGAAGCGGUAUCUAACCAGAAAGCCACGGCUAACUACGUGCCAGCAGCCGCGGUAAUUC
rnacentral:rRNA from 1 species